CCCACUCAUCUCUCCCUCCUCACUGCCCUCUCUCUCAUCUCCGCCGCUCAUCUAUUAAAUUAACAAAUUUCUCUAAUUAAUCUUUUACAAACAUUGACAUGCGAGAAGUUGUGUAUAUAAAUAUUCUUGAUAUAAUUAGCUCCUCCAAAGUGAUUACCGGCCCUCCAACCUUCAAUCUUUCUCUCAUGGAAAAAGAUAAUUAUGACCUCAGGUCCUGGUUGACAACGAAGAUUUCUUGAAGGAACUGCAGCCGUAAGCAAGAGUAGUUGCAAUGAAGUGAGAGUAGUACAGACGUGGAUAGAGACUCCAUCUCCCACGAAUAAGAUGAUCCAGUUUCCGUAUUAGUAUGAUAUGCUUGUUCGUCUCUUGUAAUAGGCUUACUUUGGUUGUAAUGUUUAAUGGGAUUUCGCGGCUAUUACUCUAUUUGUCUAGUUUAACGUUGUUAUUGGACUCAUGGUUAGAAAUUGCGCCCGCGCGAAUUUUGUGAUCACUGAUAUUUUAUCACAUAUUAUGAAUGUUACUUGACCUUCACCAUCUA